UGAGUAACCUGCCCUCCACUCUGGGAUAAGCCCGGGAAACUGGGUCUAAUACCGGAUAUGACCUCCUGUCUCAUGGCGGGUGGUGGAAAGUUUUUUCGGUGGGGGAUGGACUCGCGGCCUAUCAGCUUGUUGGUGAGGUAAUGGCUUACCAAGGCGACGACGGGUAGCCGGCCUGAGAGGGCGACCGGCCACACUGGGACUGAGACACGGCCCAGACUCCUACGGGAGGCAG
rnacentral:rRNA from 1 species